AUUGAACGCUGGCGGAAUGCUUUACACAUGCAAGUCGAGCGGCAGCGCGGGGCAACCUGGCGGCGAGCGGCGAACGGGUGAGUAACAUAUCGGAACGUACCCAGUCGUGGGGGAUAACUAUCCGAAAGGAUAGCUAAUACCGCAUACGACCUGAGGGUGAAAGGGGGGGAUCGCAAGACCUCUCGCGAUUGGAGCGGCCGAUAUCGGAUUAGCUAGUUGGUGAGGUAAAGGCUCACCAAGGCGACGAUCCGUAGCUGGUCUGAGAGGACGACCAGCCACACUGGAACUGAGACACGGUCCAGACUCCUACGGGAGGCAGCAGUGGGGAAUUUUCCACAAUGGGCGCAAGCCUGAUGGAGCAACGCCGCGUGUGUGAUGAAGGUCUUCGGAUCGUAAAGCACUUUCGACCGGGACGAAAACUCAUUGCUAACAUCGAUGAGCCUGACGGUACCGGGAGAAGAAGCACCGGCUAACUCUGUGCCAGCAGCCGCGGUAAU
rnacentral:rRNA from 1 species